GCUUACGGCCACACCGCCUGGUUCACGCCUGAUCUCGGAAGCUAAGAUAGGUUGGGCCUGGUUAGUACUUGGAUGGGAGACCGCCUGGGAAUACCAGGUGCUGAAGGCC
rnacentral:rRNA from 1 species